rnacentral:lncRNA from 1 species
GCGGCGGAGAGGCGGCCAGCGGCGGCGCGGCGGAGAGGCGGAUAGCGGCGGAGAGGCGGACAGCGGCGGCGCGGCGGAGAGACGGACAGCGGCGGAGAGGCGGACAGCGGCGGAGAGGCGGACAGCGGCGGCGCGGCGGAGAGACGGACAGCGGCGGAGAGGCGGACAGCGGCGGCGCGGCGGAGAGACGGAUAGCGGCGGAGAGGCGGACAGCGGCGGCGCGGCGGAGAGGCGGACAGCGGCGGAGAGACGGACAGCGGCGGAGAGGCGGACAGCGGCGGCGCGGCGGAGAGGCGGACAGCGGCGGCGCGGCGGAGAGACGGACAGCGGCGGAGAGGCAGACAGCGGCGGCGAGGCGCGCAGCGGCGGCGCAGGCGCGGAGAGGCGCUGGCGCCGGCUCUGGCGCGGAGAGGUGCAGGCCCAGGCUCCACUCCCCAGCUGUGAAAGGGUAAGAACCGAGGGUGGCUGAGACUCGGGGUUGUUCAGGGCGGGGUGGGCUCUGGACCCAGCAGGCCCGGCACCCAGGUCAGGGCUCCAGGGGAGGCCAGGUGGGCGAAGGCCAAGAAGGGGCUGGGGCUGGUCAGGAAGGGCUCCUGGUGACCAGAGCACUUUGCGUGAGCCAGCGUGGGAGGAAGGUGGGCUAGAUGAGCCAGGGAGGCGCCGGGAGGGGCCUUGGCAGAGGCGACCCCCUCCGUCACCCCCAGGCCACUGAACCCUGGGUAGCGAGAACCGACAGGGGAGGCUGCAGACAGAGGAGUGGAGGCUCCCCGGCUUUGGGGGCUCUGAGUAGAAGCAUCUAGGGGGUCCCUCAAGAGGCCCCCAAACGCUUCCCCAUGGUGAGAAAAGAAGGCGCAGAGAGGGGCACGGCGCCGGCGCAGAGGGGCACACAGCGAGAUUUGCUGUGAGUUCUUUUAUUGCCCCAAGUGUACCUCAUCUUGGUAGAUUUCUAUUGGCUUUAAAAAUGUGUGUGUUUUGCUGUUGGGGAGUGGGGUGUUAUACGGAUGUCAGAUUUUGCUGGUUGACUGUUCAGAUCUUUUGUAAAUCCUUGCUCCUUUUCUGCCUAGUUUCACUCUGUCACUUACACUAGAGUGCGGUGGCACGAACAUGACUCACUGCAGCCUUGACUUCCUAGGGUCAAGUACUCCCCCUGGCUUAAUCUCCUGAGUAGCUGGUACUAUAGGUGUGUGCCGCCACACCUGGCUAAAUUUAAAAUUUUUUGGAGAGAUGAGGCCUUGCUAUGUUGCCCAGGCUCGAACUCCUGGCCUCAAGCUAUCCUUUGUUUUUGCCUCCCAGAGUUCUGGGAUUACAGGCAUGAGCCACUGUGCCCGGCCUCUGCCUAGUUUUAACAGUUGCUAAGAGGAGGAUGUUGAAGUAGAUGUCUUCUUGGUGGGUUAAUCCUUUUGUCAUUAAGCAGUUGUUAUGGUCACUUCCUUUUCACCCCAUUGGUGAAGGAGGGGUCCCUGCCCUAAAGUGUAGGAGAUGGCCGAACAUGACACCUGGCGUGGAUGGAUGAGAUUGACAGCAGUGUUUUAGUCGCAUAUACCCACAGCUCGGAGGAGGACACUGCAUGCCACACAGGGUCAGAUGGGCACCGCACUCUGUAGUGGAGUGAGGGCUGCGGGCUGAGGAAGCAGGCGGGCUUGGUAGUAACAAGAGCACACGAUGACCAAUGGUUCCCGAGGGGGAAUGCAAUUGGCUUGUUUGAAUAAAUUCAUGGGCUGGCAGACAGGUGAAGCGAAACUUCUUAGGCUGAGGUGCAACUGUUCUGGCUGAUAAAAGAACUAGCCAGGUGGGGAGCCUUUCCUGUUGGGUGGCGGGGUAGGGGGUGUCUGGUAGAAACAGGAAAACCCACGGCUAGGCCUUUGGGGCCCUGUGAGGCUCAAAGAUGUCAAGGCAGCAUAGGAAAUUUUAGAUCUUAAAAUUCAGCGAAGACCCUCUCCAGCUCUGGUAAAUUAUUUUGCUUGAAGUCUACUUCAUGAAAUAUUAAUAUAGUCACUCCUGCUUCCUUAAAAAAUUAAUGAUUUCACAGGAUAUCUUUCUCCAUUCUUUUACUUUCAACCUACUUAGGUCCUUAAGUGAGUUUGAAGUUUCUCAUGAACAGUAUUUAGUUGGGCCAUGUGUUUAUUAUAGGCUCUCCAUCAAUCUGUCUUUUGGUUUAUUUAGACCAUUUACAUUUAAGGUGCUUAUUGUUACAUAAUUGCUUAUGCCUGAUGUUUUUAUUAUUUGCUUUUUUGUUUCCUUUUUCUUUCCCUCCAUCUUGAUCUAUUUCUGUAAAAUGUUGUUGCGUGUAUCUCUUUGUAUAGUCUUAAAGUGUUUGCUCUGGAUGUUACAAUAUGUGUAUUGUAAUAUAGUAGUCUACUGGUACCAGUAUUUACCACUUCAAAGUGUGGAAACCUGCCUUGCAUUUAUGUCUCUUUACCUUUUCCACUUGUAUAAAUCACUGGCUUGAGUAUUAGGUGGUGGUAUAGUUUUUGUUUCAGUCGUCAGAUGUGAUUUUAAGAACUGUGGAUUGUCUCGCGUAUGUAUCCACAUUUCUCGUCUUUCCUUUGUCCCUCCUCCCAUAGUCCCAUAUUCAUCCCUUCUGCAUAAGAACUUUCUAUAGCCAUUUUUUUAUUUUGAUUUUUUUGUUUUAAUUUUUUGUAUUGUGGAAAUGACAGAACAUAUUUCCGUAGCCACUUUUUAGCAUUUCUAAAUUGACCAGUGACAAAUUCCUAUAUUCUCUUCCUCUGAGAAUGUCUUUAUUUCUCUCUUCAUUUCUGAAGGGUAGUUUCAUGGGAUAUAGAAUUUGCCUUUCAUGUAUUCAGAGGUUUUCAGUAUUCGUAUAAUCAAACCUGAUAGUUUUCCUUUUGGUUUUGAGGUUGUGUCUUGUUUGGGUGAGUCUCCUACCCCUUUGACUACAGAAAUGCCCUUUCAUUUUAAAUAUCCUCCUAUUAUGAAACACAUUUCCACAUUUUCUAAAUUUUUAAUUUUUAGCUGAGAAAUAAAUUAGUAAUUAUUUAAGUAUUAAUUAUUUUUAUCUUGUUAUUAAUUAUUGGUUUUAUUUAUUUACAUGUAGUUGGCUUACAUUUAGUUUAGUUUAACUUAAUUACUUUAAAGUAAUGUAUAAAUAUCUGCAGUUUGUACCUCAUGUUCUCACUCAUAAGUGGGAGCUGAACAAUGAGAACACGUAGACACAGGGAGGGGAACAUCACACACCAGGUUCUAUCCAGGGGUUGGGGGCAAGGGAAAGGAGAGCAUUAUGACAAAUACCUAAUGCAUGCAGGGCUUAAAACCUAGAUGACAAAUUGAUAGGUGCAGCAAACCACCAUGGCACAUGUAUACCUAUGUAAUAAACCUACAUGUUCUGCACAUGUAUCCCAGAACUUAAAGUAAAAUUUUAAAAAAAAAAAUAAUUAAUUAAAAAUAUAUAUCUUCAGUUUGUAAACGUCCCGACAACGCAGGAACAGAGUUAAAAGAGUGUGUGUCGUCCUUAGCUGCUCCCACCCCAUCGUCUCCUCCCUAGCCAACCCAGCCGCCAGUCUGGCGUGCGCCUUCAAGGUUUCUUCCUAGACACUGGCAAACAAACAUCACUAUUUUCUGCCACAUGGUAUCUUUUAAACACACACGAUUGUUUUGUGCAGAAACUUUCUAUUUUUACCUCUCAUAAGUGUCCUGUGGAUUCUUUCCACGUCACUGUGGUGUGUGUGCGUGUGUGAGAUUCAAGUUCAGCUUGCUAAUCUUGUAGAAAGAAUUACACUCCACUUCCCCUGUGCUCUGGCCCUCCCUAACACAGCAGCCCAUCCCUGGAGGCUGAUGGAGCCCCUCGAGCACCUGCUUACCAUUUCUGUUUGUUCUGUUUGUUCAGGUUUUCUGCCUCCUGCUAAGCCAAUUUAUACAUUCCAAGAAAAUCUUCCAUUUCAUCCAGGUGAAACGGAACCUACUGGAAUGAAGCUGGCCUCCCAUGGAAUGAAGCUGGCCUCCCGUCUCCUUGAUUUGAAGCAGCUUCUCCACGUUGGUUAUUAUGCCAUUUUUCUAAAUCUAACAUUUUAAAAUUUGUGCCUUUUCUUUCUCUUUUGCUUGACUUCUCAGAGGUUUUUUUAACGGUCUUUUCAAAGAAGUGGUUUUGGGUUUUAUUUAUCAAGUCUACUUUUAUUAUGGCUGUUUUAAAAUUAAAUACAUUUAUUUCUUGUUUCCCUUAAAAAAGC